AUCCAGCUAACGAGUCCCAAAUAGGACGAAGCGGCGCACGUCAAACUGGAU
rnacentral:hammerhead_ribozyme from 1 species